GCAGGAGCUCUCCGACCCCCACCCCGCCGCGCAGCGCGGAUGUCCCGGCGCGCUCCGCACCGUCGCGGUACAUGAACAGGGUCACCCCCGUCACGAUGAGCAGCACGCACAGGUGCGUGACGUCAUUUAUGGACGGCCCCUAACGGCACAACGGCAGUGGGAUCGGUCUGAUGUUGCCUUGAUACGGGCACUGGAAUCGAGCGUGGCACCAUCUCUCCACGCCUUGGGGGGGGAGGGGGGGUCUGGAGGGGGCCAAGCCACCACAGCUGAAGGCUCGGCGCUUCUUGGAAGUCAAAGGAUGUUGGUACGACACGAAACACCAAUGGUCACGACCACAGUGUGGCCUUGUCUCGCGCUGGCCGCGACACGAGCGGCGGUCGCAGAGACGUGCCUUUAGGAAUUCACCCUGAGCCUCCGUCGUGCGCAUCAGAGUGAGUCAACACUGGUCGAGAGCGGACAGGCGUGACCCAGGUUUUGAUGUAACACCCAAGCUGACACCAUCGAUUGCAGGCUCCGUGGACGGUUGGUCAUGGGCUACGUUCACGAGAGAGGCACAGCACAAACAACAGGGAAGUGGUGCCCGGUGGAGUAGCGAUCAAUUGAUCGCCUGUAAGGCUGCAAACGAGGAAUGCCGACUCACGUCCUACCCCACGCGUACGUUAGUGAAACAGAAGGUCGCAUUCACAUCGUGUUCAGCGCACCGUGCAAUUUUCUCGAAAAGGAAAUGUGAGGGCGAGAUGAUUAAAACAUGAGAAUGGGUUGCAAGACUGGAGUGACUCAAAUUAAUAUAUUGAAAAGUGUUGACAAAACCUUGAUAUUGUCCAUCAGCAGUGUAGACAACAUUUAAAUAUCCUUUGUAUAUAUAUAAACUUGCUCUACUAUCUUGUGUGAGCUGCAGGACUAUACUGUAUAUCUGAAUAAAAAAAAAUCUAUGUCAAUGCGCUAAAGUAAGCAAUAUUAAAUUCAUUAUAUGUGUGAACAGUCUGAUACAGAGUAGGGACCUGAAUAUUUCAUGAAGAUAUAAGAAAAAUUAGAUGUCUUUUCAACAUCAUGCAUUUGUGAGAAAAACAUCUUCAAGUAAAUUGACAGGCCUGCAAAUUCAGUGAUAACCCCCAUAAUAGGUAUAUUCAUGAAUCUGUAUUAGAAAUCGGACACCAGACAUUUGCUAGAUAAUCUUAAAAACACAUUGCAAAGUAAUAGAGAAUGAAAGUGACGAUAGGGGAGAGGUAAAGUGCAAAUGUGAAAAACCAGUAAUGAUGGGAUUUUUUUACGUAAAUUGAAUUUGCCUCACAGUAGCAAUGGGAGGAGUUUUGACCAGGAAUUAGUGCUGGAUAAGUGUGACUUUUCUAGGCCUUGAGUUGCCAACAGACCAGAAUAAUUACCGAUUUAAUUGAAAUUACACAAAUUUCAGAUUUGAAAUUUACUUUUAAUUGGAGUAAGUACCAUUACCUGAAUAAAAGUUAUUUAGACAUUUGAUCGAAUGGCUACAAAUGCAUAUAAAAGCCCUUCAAACAAAAGUCGCCUGACUUGCAAAGUGCAUCACACGCUCUGGUACCAACCCCUAGCGACCCUCCCAGCAAACCCUCAAAGCGACCUGCCUUCCUCUCCCCAUGUCUCGACAGUAACAGUCGAUCAAACGCAGCCAACUGGCCUGUAGAUGACCCUAGGGCCUUCUCCACAGUAACGCUUUUAACCGACAAAACGAGUCUGCUUUAGAAAGCUACCAUAUUCCUGGUUCUCCAGACAAGUGGUAGGUGCAUCUCCCCUUCACAAUCUCUCCACUCCCAGGCCAAUGCAGCAAGUGACACACUGGCCACCCUUCCAAAUGAGAUAUUCCAUUCUCAAGGGAUUUUCCAAGUGAUAUAUUUUAAAAGAGGAAAAAAAAGCAGCUAUCUAAACUCACAGCCUACAAAGCUCAGCCGAGGUGAAGGGAAAAUGACUGUCAUUGGCAAGAGAGAGGAUAUUUCAAGGUGCCCACACGGAUAACCGCCAAAGAUUAACCGCAGAGCAUAUCCAUUGAACAUAUGCCUUUUCAUUCCGACCAACCACAAGUAAACGCCAAAGCACCCUGCCAUCAGGAUUUGGGGAUCUUGUGCACUUUGCCCCAGACCCUUCGUAGGCUGCACAAUCCUCCAGCAUGGAGCUUCCGCAAGAAGGUUUCCCCACGGCCAAGAAUGAGAAGAGUUCAUUAGAGAUGCCGUGUGCAGCAUUUUCACAGGGACUAGUUACUCGCUCAACCACAGCCUCAAUUUACAGACACGGGAACCGAUGGAAAAUGGUGCUUCUCACCCAAGUUUCAGUGUGCAAAGCUACACCCAGUCGUGCGCUUCUGCAGUCUGGAAUUCUGUAAAGGUCAUUUUAUUAUUGGAGCCAGUACAAGCCCUCUGUUGCAGUAUGACAUUGGUGCCUAAGGCACCCCUCUGCCAUCUGUUUCUCCAGUGCAGCUGUUGAUCUGUCUGGCAAUUUGUUCACCUGACUAGACAUUGUCCCAGCCAGCCACAAUAACCACCUUAUAACCCCAACCAGGGACCCUUCUGGAUCAGAAGGGACCUGAAGGUCAUGGGUAGCAGGGUUGCUUACUUGCUUGUGCAGGUUUAAUGGAAGCCAAUCCACUACCUAAUCAGUCAUACGUGAUGACUCUCAUCCAAUUACAAUUAUGGUCGGGAUGCAACUGUAAAAAAGAAACAUGUAAAUCACAGCACACAAAGCGAGGCCAUGACAGAGGAGUAAAUCCACUUUGUAAAAUGGUAAAUUGCUGAACUUAGAAUGAAAACAUGUAUUUUUUUGGCGAUACUGCCUUGGCAGUGGUGCACAAAGCACGAAUAAACAAGAAUCUCAACACAUUCGUCAUUAGCACUGCCAUCAUGGAAAAAAUAUAUUACAGACGAUGUGAUGGGUAAUGUCCCUUCUUCAUAGGCUCGUGAUGAAAGCCUGGCAAUUUAGAUUUUAAAAAAAUAGCAAUUCUUCCCACUUCUCAUUAAAACCCAUUGCUGGAUGGUGGAAAACCUUGCACACGCUUCUGCAUUUGCAAAUAUUCCAUGCCACACGAGAUAACACGCACAGGCGGUGCUCUGCAGUGACAGCCCGCACUCGGAAAUUAGCCACAACUGUUUUUCACGUACCAGGGCCAUAGGGCUGCAUGGACCACGUUCGGAGAACAUCGCCGAGCCUCGUGUCACCGUUCACGUCAGGCCGGCUCCGGCCAGCGCCAUGACCGGCCACGACGUCCGCCCUGUGCUCACCACCGCCGCCUCCACUGCCGCUGCCGCCACUACCGGCGCCAGCUGUCAGGAAUGAGUUGGGUUUCGGGCAGGGUGGCUGGCAAGAUCUCAUCCUGGGCGGCUCGGAUGAAGCGAGACAACCACCUGUGUUUAAUACGGAGAAGGGCGUGUUAAGGGUUGAAUGCAUUUUAAACGU